UCAUUUCAAGCAGACGCCAAGCAUCAAUAGCGUGGUCUGUGCUAUGUGAUUGCAUUGUUACUGCUGGAGUGAGCAAUUUCAGAUUGCGUCAUGAUGGCGUGCCCCGUUAGCGUCGUGAUCGGCGUGCCCUGUUAGCGUCAUGGUUGGCGUGCCCUGUGUUAGCGUCAUGAUUGGCGUGCCCUGUGUUAACACGAUAUGUUUUAUUUAUUCGUGUGCUGUGAUUUCAACACCAGCAUUGGUCAGAGGAGACUCGCAAACAGCAAGGAAAGGAGGCUGCUCUUCAUCAGCCAGAAGUUUGAUACAAAGGAGUACACAAGUUGACUUCAUUACUUAUAAGCAAAGUCAAUUUUUUGGAUAUAGAUGGGCAGCAAUUUUAUCGAGCCAUGACAUCUGAUUUCUGUUAUCCUGCUUAUGGUGACCUGUUACUUGAUGAUAAGCCAAACCUAAGUUGCCUCUAGGAAUUAUGAAUGUCAAAUUUGGGACACAGCUGUGCAGUUUUUUUAUCGAGCUCUAACAUCUGAAGACCGCCAUUAUUACCUGUUGACGGGACCAAGAAAAGGAAUCUUGCCGGUAUCAUCACAUAACUUCCGCCACAUACGAGGUAAUCUCCCUGUGGACUCCUUUGUCAAACUUCUAGCUGAUGAAGAGGAGCCUACUUUCCUUGCUGCUUGCGAGUCUCCUCUGACCAAUGCUGGAGUUGAAAUCACUAUGGCACGCCAAUCAUGACGCUAACACAGGUCACGCCAAUCAUGACGCUAACACAGGGCACGCCAAUCAUGACGCUAACACAGGUCACGCCAAUCAUGACGCUAACACAGGGCACGCCAACCAUGACGCUAACAGGGCACGCCAUCAUGACGCUAUCUUUUCAACAAAGCAGUAACACUGCAAUCAUCCCAAUCACAAAGCACAGACCACGCUAUUACAAGAUGCUUGGCGUCUGCUUGAAAUGAAAUCGAUUCAAAAUCGAUUUCUAAAAAAUCAAAUGUUACGAAGAAUACAAUUAAC